UACAGAGGUCUCAAGCGUUGUUCGGAUUCAUUGGGCGUAAAGGGUGCGUAGGUGGGCAGGUAAGUCAGUGGUGAAAUCUUUGGGCUUAACCCGAAACUGCCGUUGAUACUAUCUGUCUUGAAUAUAGUGGAGGUGAGCGGAAUAUGUCAUGUAGCGGUGAAAUGCUUAGAUAUGACAUAGAACACCCAUUGCGAAGGCAGCUCGCUACACUAUUAUUGACACUGAGGCACGAAAGCGUGGGGAUCAAACAGG
rnacentral:rRNA from 1 species